rnacentral:rRNA from 1 species
CUGCCUGAUGAGGGGGAUGACUACUGGAAGCGGUAGCUAAUACCGCAGUAACGUACGCAAGACCAAAGAGGGGGGACCUUCGGGCCUCUUGCCAUCAGAUGUGCCCAGAUGGGAUUAGCUAGUAGGUGGGGUAACGGCUCACCUAGGCGACGAUCCCUAGCUGGUCUGAGAGGAUGACCAGCCACACUGGAACUGAGACACGGUCCAG